CAGCUAUCUCCCUCCCUGUUCUGAGCCUUGGCUAAAGCUUCUCUGAAUACAAUUCCAAGCACACAGCCUUCUGGAUGAGACUCCUGCCAAGCUCACCCCGUGUGCUUCCAUUAUCCCUCAGAGAGCGGAAACUGGAAGAACAAGGCGAGUGCCGACCUCUGAGGAUGUGUCCCCAGCACGGCAAGUUGAGGCCUGAGCCCUGGAGGCUCCAUGGCCAGCCAGGCAGAGGCCACCUGCGGGUGCAGUCAGCGCUGCUGAAGGCUGGGGCUCGCUCCCUGCACCCAGCCACCUUCAAAGCCAACCUUGUAUUUUCUUGUUUCCUUCAGAAUUCUCAGGUGAGUCUAUCCAUCCAUCCCUGCUCUCAAAGAUGCACUGUUCGGAUGGGGGAAAGAUGGUGUUCCCGCUGUAGCCAUCGGGCACUAGGCUCUGGGCAUUCAAGCUGGGA
rnacentral:lncRNA from 1 species